GGCGAACGGGUGAGUAACGCGUAGGAAUCUACCCAGUAGCGGGGGAUAGCCCGAGGAAACUCGGAUUAAUACCGCAUACGCCCUGAGGGGGAAAGGGGGCAGUUUACUGCUCUCACUAUUGGAUGAGCCUGCGUAAGAUUAGCUUGUUGGUGGGGUAAUAGCCUACCAAGGCGACGAUCUUUAGCUGGUCUGAGAGGACGAUCAGCCACAUUGGGACUGAGACACGGCCCAGACAUCUACGGAUGGCAGCAGUUAAGAAUAUUGGACAAUGGGGGCAACCCUGAUCCAGGUAUACCGCGUGUGUGAAGAAGGCCCUAGGGUUGUAAAGCACUUUAAUCAGAGAAGAAGCAUUUUAAGUUAAUACCUUAAUAUGUUGACGUUACCUGAAGAAUAAGGACCGGCUAACUCCGUGCCAGCAGCCGCGGUAAUACGGAGGGUCCAAGCGUUAAUCGGAAUUACUGGGCGUAAAGCGCGCGUAGGCGGUUUAGCAAGUUGUAUGUGAAAGCCCUGGGCUCAACCUAGGAACUGCGUCCAAAACUACUAAGCUAGAGUACGAGAGAGGAGAGUAGAAUUUCUGGUGUAGCGGUGAAAUGCGUAGAUAUCAGAAGGAAUACCAAUGGCGAAGGCAGCUCUCUGGCUCGUCACUGACGCUGAGGUGCGAAGGCGUGGGUAGCAAACAGGAUUAGAUACCCUGGUAGUCCACGCCGUAAACGAUGAGAACUAGCCGUUGGGCAGAUUUAACUGUUCAGUGGCACAGCUAACGCAUUAAGUUCUC
rnacentral:rRNA from 1 species